AGUUUGAUGCCACAUUGUUGAUAGCUCACUCUGGCAGUGACCAGCGAUGCUAUGAUUGAACCAAAAACACAAGUUCUUUCACACCUUGAUAGGAAUCUCUUCGUCUUUUUAUUAUAGAUUUACAGAGCCAUUUCUUGUGAUUACAUUU
rfam:Cucumis melo, WGS project CAJI01000000 data, contig: 13684